UCACCUCAAAAUCCCGAAUAUAUUCAAGUAAUUCAACUACUUAUGAUCAAGCAGAUCGAGUUCAAAUUUUCAAAACUUAAGCAAAUACAAAAACAUAUAUUCUUCAAGUACAUCGCCAGGAUUCAAAAUUCUAAAAAUUUAAAAUUUACAAAAUCAUGAAAUAAUUCAACAAAUUAAGAUGCAGAUCGAAACACAAAAAAAAAAGCAAAUAAGUUCGUCUAAAUGUCAUAAUCGGACUCCAAUAUCGCAUGCCCAGUGCCCACAUUCAAAUUCAUAGUCAAGUCCACAAUAGAUCUAGAAAAUUCCGAAACAUAUUCAAAGAAAAAUACAAACUUUUUCACCUUAAAUUACAUAAAUUUCAAAUGGGUAACCAUAAAAUCGCCAUGAUCAUAAAAUUAAAAACCCAUGAACUGACAAAUAAAUAAAACCCACAACCUUUGCUGCAGCAAAAUCGCCAUGAUCAUCACAAGCUCUAACAGUUCCUCUUUUCGUCGGGUCUCGAAAGGGGCGAGUGAAAAUCAUGAUUUGGAAGAAGGAAUCCGUGAAGAGGACAUGAGAAGACUAGAGAGAAAGUGAUUUGGAGGAAGAGAGGAAGGAGAGGGAGAGGGAGACAGAGAGAGGGAGACAGAGAGACUGAGGAAGCAGCGGACGGAAGAAAGAAGUGUGAGAUCUGAAAUGAAAUGGGAGUGAGACGUCGGC
rnacentral:lncRNA from 1 species